rnacentral:rRNA from 1 species
UACGUAGGGUGCAGGCGUUAAUCGGAAUUACUGGGCGUAAAGCGUGCGCAGGCGGUUUCUUAAGUCAGAUGUGAAAUCCCCGGGCUCAACCUGGGAACUGCAUUUGUGACUGCACAGCUGGAGUGCGGCAGAGGGGGAUGGAAUUCCGCGUGUAGCAGUGAAAUGCGUAGAUAUGCGGAGGAACACCGAUGGCGAAGGCAAUCCCCUGGGCCUGCACUGACGCUCAUGCACGAAAGCGUGGGGAGCAAACAGG